AAAAGUUGCAGCACAGCGUGUCACCAGAGAGGAAAAGAAUAUCCUUGCUGUGCCAAGAAAGAAAAGACCAUGGAUCUACUAGUUGCAGAUUUCAGCAGUAAUGCCAAGGGGGCAAGAAGUGACCAGCAGAACAAUUAGGCCAUGGCAACAGAAGCCAACUACAACCCAUGUUCCAAUCUAUGACCUCCCUCUCCUGCUGGUACAAGGAUAUGAAUGUGGCUGUAGCAUCAUUUUUGGAAGCCAGAAUGGUAAUACUGAAAAUCACUGCUUGUCUCAAGAUCCAACUUCUGGAAAUCUCAACCAUUCUGAAUACAGCCAUCAUUCUUAAAAUUGAAGAGAACUGUUUUACAAGAUCUUGACUUGUAAAGAAACCAAGUUUAUUAAGGGCAAGAGCUGAUAAUCAACUGACUAAUGAGGAUUGACUUCUACAAUUGAUGAGCAUGGAAUUGGAUGUGCCUAAAUCAACAGAAGAGGGAUUUUGAUGUCAUCACACUGUAGCCCCAGAAGACAGAACGCUCAAAGGUGUCAAUGGGCAGAAUUUGUAGAUGACAUACAGCAUCCAAUGGAUUACUCCUAUUCAGGAUAAUGGAAGAAAAAGGUUCUUACCCUUCAGCAGAUAGCAUGCUGAGCCCUGAACAAAUUUUAUGACUUCUGGUGCAAAGCAGACCCAGUCAGCUUGCCUCUAGCAACUGGUUAAUACUACUCCAAGGAAACCACACUUAAAAUUCUUGGAAGUUCUUUUACCAUCACAUCAAGUUGCAUUUUGAAGCUGAAGCCCUUCGAAUCCAUUUAUACCUUGUGAUAUUCCCUUGCCAGAUUGUUGUUUUGUUUGCUAGACAUGAUUUUAGGAUUUUGUCAAGGAAGCCAUCUAUGACCCCAAUCAAUCAAAACCAUAAGGAUCAAGGCUGGAAGAACCUAUUCCUUAGAGCAAAGGAUGCAAUGUCAAGCAAGUUGUGAUACCUCAACUAUCUACAAUUUAACACCAAGGAAAGAACACUGUUUGGAGAAAUGAGAAAGAUUAUCAUCAGUGUCUUUCAGAAGUCAUCAAAAGAAGAAAAGGAGAAAAGAGAGGAGAAAGCAGAAAGAUCUGGAGUCUGGGAAGUUCAAGAGCAUGGCACCAACAUCUGGCAAGGGCUUUCAUUCUGCAUCAUCUCAUGGAGGAAAAUAAAAAGAUUUCAGGUAAAUCCAGAUUUGGAGCUUAAAUGACUCAAAUGCUUUGCCUACAUUGAUCCUACAUUCAGGCUGCUUACAUAUCUCUUGGCUUCUCUGAGAACCAGAUUGUCACCACUUAAAGUGUCUUCCAGAGUCCUCACGAGUAUCAGAGAAGGCAUAAUCUGUACACGUGGCUUCAUUUAAAAUGAAAAUAUCAAGCAGUGUCAUUUUCACAAGUAUCCCCACACUGUCUGAGGCUGAAAAGAAGAGUGUAGCUAUGCACACUGCAGUGAGAAGAAAAUUUCAGCUCAAUUGGAGGAUGUAAAGAUUGAAAUACCACUGCUCCUAGUUCUGAUGCAAAAUUGAAAAGAGUGCACUGGGUCUUCAAAUGGCAUAUUGACAAGGAGAAAGAGGAAAGGAUGCCCCAGGACAGCCUGGGGGUCAAGGCUGGGCUCAGGCAUGCCUGGACAAGCCAUGCAAGUUGUCUCCGGACUUGAACCACGUAUCAGAGGAGCUAUUUGAGGAGCCACAUCAGCAUACCUGCUUCUGUGGGCCCCCAGGCUGUGGUGCUCAGCCCUUGCACUAUGAAACAUUUUUUUUUUCCAGAAGCCAAAGCUUUGAGCAUCUCCUCCCAUGUAGAGAGUGUAUAUGUUUACGUCCAUGUCUUUCGCCAUGUGAACGCAUGCAACCACCACCUCAAAUAUCAUAAAUCCUCUCUCUCCCCCUUUCUGUCUGCCUGUUUAUCUACAAUCUGUCUAUUUAAAUUCUUUUUAAACAAGAAGGGAAUAUCUUUAUGCCUGUUUGUAGGGAUAUUCUACAUCCAUCUGUUAUUUACAUCAUUCGUUUUCCUGAGGUGUCUCCAACAAAUCCUGGCUGGAUGCACUGUAUGUGUUAUUAAUAAAACAGCUGUAAAAAU
ensembl:lncRNA LINC01539 long intergenic non-protein coding RNA 1539